GUAGGGAAUCUUCCGCAAUGGACGAAAGUCUGACGGAGCAACGCCGCGUGAGUGAUGAAGGUUUUCGGAUCGUAAAACUCUGUUGUUAGGGAAGAACAAGUACAAGAGUAACUGCUUGUACCUUGACGGUACCUAACCAGAAAGCCACGGCUAACUACGUGCCAGCAGCCGCGGUAAUACGUAGGUGGCAAGCGUUGUCCGGAAUUAUUGGGCGUAAAGCGCGCGCAGGCGGUCCUUUAAGUCUGAUGUGAAAGCCCACGGCUCAACCGUGGAGGGUCAUUGGAAACUGGGGGACUUGAGUGCAGAAGAGAAGAGUGGAAUUCCACGUGUAGCGGUGAAAUGCGUAGAGAUGUGGAGGAACACCAGUGGCGAAGGCGACUCUUUGGUCUGUAACUGACGCUGAGGCGCGAAAGCGUGGGGAGCAAACAGGAUUAGAAACCCUAGUAGUCC
rnacentral:rRNA from 1 species